UUCUACUUUUGAUUUUUUGUUCUUUCAAUCAAUAUUUCAGAAUCAUCAACCCCAUGAAUCGUUUUUGGUUAUAUCUAAUUGUUACAUGAUUGUGUGGUGAUUUAUUUACUUGGCUAAUCAAGAAAAAAACUACUGAUAUGACAGAUAAAUAGACAAAAUCAAAUCAAUUGUAAAGCAAACCUAUAUUUGUAUCUACCUGUUCGAUUAAUGAUUAACCCAUUCUAUCAGGCAUAUAUAAAUUGUUUAAAGUAUGUAAUAAUAAUAACAACAAGAUUACGGAAUGAAUGAAUUGGUCAUCAUCAUCAUUCACACAUACACGAUACAAUGUAUUGUAUGGUAAUUUUCAACAACCAUUUACACCGAGAUGGUUAUCAUCAGAUCAACACAUGCAUUUUGUAUUUCAAUAUCAUAAAUGGAUCUAAUUUUCAUUGGCAAUUCAAAUAGUUUGGUGGUAAUAUCAUCAUCUGAAUUGCUCAAUUCAAUAGAUAUAUAGGUAGUGAAACCAUCAAUAAUACAAUUUUUAUGGAAAGCACGGAAAUUUUCGUUUUUUUUCAAGUGUGAACAUAAUAAUAAUUGGCCAUCCCAUUCACAAACCCUCUAUACAAUUAUAUGGAUGGAUUAUUUAUUUAUUUAUUCGGUGUUGAUCUAUAUCUGUGUUUUUUGUAUGUGAUCGACACGGUUGAUUGAUUUAACUAUAUCUUUGGCCAUCUCUAUAGGUCGAUUUUUUUGUAUUGUGGUCAAAAUAUAUCGUUGGCCCGAUGAUGGUGGUGGUGGUGAUGGGAAAAGAAUAAUAACAUUUUUUUCUGGAGAUAAUUGUCCACGGAAUAGAAUGUAUCGAAAUGUCAUACGUAUUGGGAUUGUUUUUUAUUAUUUUCUACGAUCCUGAAACUGUCAUCAUUGCUUCACAUGGGAAAAAUUUUUUUUUGGUCACAAAUAUCGAUUUUAAUGAUGAGCAAAGCUGUCAAUCGUCUUUUUUUUGGUUCUAUUGAUGUGAUCAUAUGGACAAGGCAAGCCGUUUGGUUUUUGCGAGUUGGUCAUCAUUUGUUGUUGUUGUUGUGGAAUCAAAUACAUCUGUCUAUCGAAUGCCAAAUUGCAUACACACACAAACACAUCGUCGUAAAUGAUUGUUUUUGCGACAAUUUGGUCGUUAAUCUCUAUUUUUCUGUUUUUGUCUGUGUGUAUGUUCGACAAGUGGCGGCAAAACUAAAAUUUUCUCGUUUAUGAAUCAUCAUGAAAUUGAAGAUUUGAAUAAUGUCACCUUUUUCAAUGUAUCGAUUAUUUUGCUUCCGCAUAACAAAAAAUCUUUCAUUUACAUGUUGGCCAUUACAUAAUGUCUGUUUGUUUGUCUUUCAUUCCAUACAUUUGUGUGUUUUUAUUGCGAAUUCCGUUGCUUAUAAUUGAUAAAUCAGUUGUUUAGCACUGACACUUGUUGACACACAUAUAUCAUGUACAAUGGUUAUGCUAAUGGUUGCCGUUAACAUGGAUGAACGGCUCUUGGAUGAGUUUUUUAUAUGAAGAUUCAACCAUCCACGUCUGUUGGUGUGACCAUCAUCAUCAUUAUGAUGAAUGGAUAAUGCUUGGCCAUGAAAUGGGAAAAUAAAAACAAAAGGAAAUUAGGCCCAUUAGGCACAAUCAAUCAAUUAUGAUGUGUGUCUAACAUCAUUAUUGGUUAUGAUGAACAUAUUCAGAUCCAUGAAUAUCCAUCGAUGUUGAUGCGAUGUGUUACAUAUAUUAACCCUAUGUGGGAGUGUAUUUUAUUUUGCGUUUGGAAUGUGUUUAUCUUUUUAUUCUAUCACACGCAUCGAUUUUAUCCAGGCAUGAAUCCUGUUUUGAUGAAGAAAAAAAAUAAAUUUAUGCAUAUACCAUGAAUUAUGAACCAAUGAUCAUUUGCAUCACAUCGAAUCGUUUAUGGAAAGAAAUGGCCAUCUAUAUGAUUCAAUUUACACCCACCCACACACA